CUUAAAACCCAAAGGACUUGGCGGUGCCCCAAACCCACCUAGAGGAGCCUGUUCUAUAAUCGAUAAUCCACGAUCAACCUCACCACUUCUUGCCAAUUCCGCCUAUAUACCGCCGUCGCCAGCUUACCCUUUGAAGGCUAAAAAGUAAGUACAAUGGUAUUCACCAAAACGUCAGGUCAAGGUGUACGAAUGAAGUGGAAAGAAAUGGGCUACAUUUUCUAAUAAUAGAACAUACGAACGAUUACUAUGAAAAAGAAUCUGAAGGCGGAUUUAGCAGUAAAAGAGAAUCAUGAUGCCUCUUUUAAACUGGCCCUGGGGCGCGC
rnacentral:rRNA from 1 species